AACGAACGCUGGCGGCCGGCUUAACACAUGCAAGUCGAACGCCCCGCAAGGGGAGUGGCAGACGGGUGAGUAACGCGUGGGAACAUACCCUUUCCUGCGGAAUAGCUCGGGGAAACUGGAAUUAAUACCGCAUACGCCCUACGGGGGAAAGAUUUAGCGGGGAAGGGUUGGCCCGCGUUGGAUUAGCGGGUUGGUGGGGUAAAGGCCUACCAAGGCGACGUUCCAUAGCUGUCUGAGAGGAUGAUCAGCCACAUUGGGACUGAGACACGGCCCAAACUCGUACGGGAGGCAGCAGUGGGGAAUAUUGGACAAUGGGCGCAGGCCUGAUCCAGCCAUGCCGCGUGAGUGAUGAAGGCCUUAGGGUUGUAAAGCUCUUUCACCGAUGAAGAUAAUGACGGUAGUCGGAGAAGAAGCCCCGGCUAACUUCGUGCCAGCCGCCGCAGUAAAAC
rnacentral:rRNA from 1 species